rnacentral:rRNA from 1 species
UUGGCUCAGGAUGAACGCUGGCGGCGUGCUUAACACAUGCAAGUCGAACGAGGUAUAAGGACGGAAGUUUUCGGACGGAAGACCUUGUACUGAGUGGCGGACGGGUGAGUAACGCGUGGGAAACCUGCCCUGUACCGGGGGAUAGCAGUUGGAAACGGCUGAUAAUACCGCAUAAGCGCACAGUAAGACAUCUUACAGUGUGAAAAACUCCGGUGGUACAGGAUGGUCCCGCGUCUGAUUAGCUAGUUGGUGAGGUAAAAGCUCACCAAGGCGACGAUCAGUAGCCGGCCUGAGAGGGUGAACGGCCACAUUGGGACUGAGACACGGCCCAGACUCCUACGGGAGGCAGCAGUGGGGAAUA